rnacentral:rRNA from 1 species
CAGUCGCCGCGGUAAUACGUAGGUGGCAAGCGUUGUCCGGAAUUAUUGGGCGUAAAGGGCUCGCAGGCGGUUUCUUAAGUCUGAUGUGAAAGCCCCCGGCUCAACCGGGGAGGGUCAUUGGAAACUGGGAAACUUGAGUGCUGAAGAGGAGAGUGGAAUUCCACGUGUAGCGGUGAAAUGCGUAGAGAUGUGGAGGAACACCAGUGGCGAAGGCGACUCUCUGGUCUGUAACUGACGCUGAGGAGCGAAAGCGUGGGGAGCGAACAGGAUUAGAUACCCCCGUAGUCCCUGUCUCUUAUAC